rnacentral:lncRNA from 1 species
CCAGCCAUACUAAAGGAGAACAUUGGAGAAAACAGAGGAGAUGUUAAAGUAACCCAUCUUGCAGGACGACAUUGAAGAUUGGUCUUCUGUUGAUCUAAGAUGAUUAUUUUGUAAAAGACUUUCUAGUGUACAAGACACCAUUGUGUCCAACUGUAUAUAGCUGCCAAUUAGUUUUCUUUGUUUUUACUUUGUCCUUUGCUAUCUGUGUUAUGACUCAAUGUGGAUUUGUUUAUACACAUUUUAUUUGUAUCAUUUCAUGUUAAACCUCAAAUAAAUGCUUCCUUAUGUGAUUGCUUUUC